rnacentral:rRNA from 1 species
CAGUAGCCGCGGUAAAACGAAGGGGGCUAGCGUUGUUCGGAUUUACUGGGCGUAAAGGGCGCGUAGGCGGACUGAUAAGUCAGGGGUGAAAUCCCAAGGCUCAACCUUGGAACUGCCUUUGAUACUGUUUGUCUUGAGUUCGAGAGAGGUAAGUGGAACUGCGAGUGUAGAGGUGAAAUUCGUAGAUAUUCGCAAGAACACCAGUGGCGAAGGCGGCUUACUGGCUCGAAACUGACGCUGAGGCGCGAAAGCGUGGGGAGCAAACAGGAUUAGAUACCCCCGUAGUCCCUGUCUCUUAUAC